GCAUAUCAAUAAGCGGAGGAAAAGAAACCAACUGGGAUUGCCCUAGUAACGGCGAGUGAAGCGGCAACAGCCCAGAUUUGAAAUCCGGCCUCGUUUCGGGGUCUGAAUUGUAAUCUGUAGAGGAUGUCGCUGUCUGACAGCCUUCUCGAAGUCUCUUGGAAAGGAGCGCCAUAGAGGGUGAGAGCCCCGUGCGGGAAGCUGCUGGAUAGGCAAGAUGCGACUCCUUCGACGAGUCGAGUAGUUUGGGAAUGCUGCUCUAAAUAGGAGGUAAAUUCCUUCCAAGGCUAAAUAUCGGCCGGAGACCGAUAGCGCACAAGUAGAGUGAUCGAAAGAUGAAAAGCACUUUGAAAAGAGGGUUAAAAAGUACGUGAAAUUGUUGAAAGGGAAGCGUCCGCGACCAGACUUACGCGUAUUUGUUCGCCUUGUGUUCGUCACAAGGUCUCUCAAAUGUAGCAGUAGGCCAACAUCGAUUCUUUUCGGAAGAGAAGCACAAAGGGAACGUAGCUCUCGCAAGGGAGUGUUAUAGCCCAUUGUUAAGUAUUCUGAUUGGGAUCGAGGCCCGCGCUUCGGCACGGAUGUUGGCAUAAUGGUCGUUGGCGACCCGUCUUGAAAC
rnacentral:rRNA from 1 species